rnacentral:rRNA from 1 species
CCUACGGGAGGCAGCAGUGGGGAAUUUUGCGCAAUGCUCGUAAGAGUGACGCAGCGACGCCGCGUGAAUGACGAAGGCCUUCGGGUUGUAAAGUUCUUUCGACAGGGAAGAAAAUGCCUAUAAGUAACUGUGUAUGUAUUGACGGUACCUGUAUAAGCAGCCCCGGCUAACUCCGUGCCAGCAGCCGCGGUAAUACGGAGGGGGCGAGCGUUGUUCGGAGGGACUGGGCGUAAAGAGCACGUAGGCGGUGUUGUAAGUCAUUAGUCAAAGACUAGAGCUCAACUUUAGUAAGGCUAGUGAUACUAUAAUACUAGAGUAUCAGAGAGGAUUGCAGAAUUCCUGGUGUAGCGGUGAAAUGCGUAGAUAUCAGGAGGAAUACCGUUAGCGAAGGCGGCAAUCUGGCUGGAAACUGACGCUGAGGUGCGAAAGCGUGGGUAGCAAACAGGAUUAGAUACCCCAGUAGUC